UUUCCUAUUCUCCGUCACUUCGACGAAAUUCUUUAUGUACAAGAUAAGAAUAUUGUUAAUAGAUAAACUUAUGAAAUCUUCGUCCAUUUCCUUUUGUCUGGACUCGACUGACGCACUUUUGUUGGAACACAUAUUCGAAAAAAAUUAAGUUGUGACGAAAAAUUGGAGGUUUACUGUGUGAUGCACUUUGCUUGGUUAAGCAGCUGAUUUGCUUCAACUGUGAACUGUUAGUAAAAAUAUUUCCAUUAUAUAGUUAUUCUUUAUGUACAAACUAAGAAUAUUGUUAAUAGAUAUAUUUAUGAAAUCUUCGUCCAUUUCCUUUUGUCUGGACUCGACUGACGCACUUUUGUUGGAACACAUAUUCGAAAAAAAAUUAAGUUGUGACGAAAAAUUGGAGGUUUACUGUGUGAUGCACUUUGCUUGGUUAAGCAGCUGAUUUGCUUCAACUGUGAACUGUUUCUAAAAAUAUUUCCAUUAUAUAGUUAUUCUUUAUGUACAAAAUAAGAAUAUUGUUAAUAGAUAUAUUUAUGAAAUCUUCGUCCAUUUCCCUUUGUCUGGACUCGACUGACGCACUUUUGUUGGAACUCAUAUUCGAAAAAAAAUUAAGUUGUGACGAAAAAUUGGAGGUUUACUGUGUGAUGCACUUUGCUUGGUUAAGCAGCUGAUUUGCUUCAACUGUGAACUGUUACUAAAAAUAUUUCCAUUAUAUAGUUAUUCUUUAUGUACAAAAUAAGAAUAUUGUGAACAGAUAUAUUUAUGAAAUCUUCGUCCAUUUCCUUUUGUCUGGACUCGACUGACGCACUUUUGUUGGAACACAUAUUAGAAAAAAAAUUAAGUUGUGACGAAAAAUUGGAGGUUUACUGUGUGAUGCACUUUGCUUAGCUGAUUUGCUUCAACUGUGAACUGUUACUAAAAUAUUUCCAUUAUAUAGUUAUUCUUUAUGUACAAAAUAAGAAUAUUGUUAAUAGAUAUAUUUAUGAAAUCUUCGUCCAUUUCCCUUUGUCUGGACUCGACUGACGCACUUUUGUUGGAACUCAUAUUCGAAAAAAAAUUAAGUUGUGACGAAAAAUUGGAGGUUUACUGUGUGAUGCACUUUGCUUAGCUGAUUUGCUUCAACUGUGAACUGUUACUAAAAUAUUUCCAUUAUAUAGUUAUUCUUUAUGUACAAAAUAAGAAUAUUGUUAAUAGAUAUAUUUAUGAAAUCUUCGUCCAUUUCCCUUUGUCUGGACUCGACUGAAGCACUUUUGUUGAAACACAUAUUCGAAAAAAAAUUAAGUUGUGACGAAAAAUUGGAGGUUUACUGUGUGAUGCACUUUGCUUGGCUAAGCAGCUGAUUUGCUUCAACUGUGAACUGUUACUAAAAAUAUUUCCAUUAUAUAGUUAUUCUUUAUGUACAACAUAAGGAUAUUGUUAACAGAUAUAUUUAGGAAAUCUUCGUCCAUUUCCUUUUGUCUGGACUCGACUGACGCACUUUUGUUGGAACACAUAUUCGAAAAAAAAUUAAGUUGUGACG